UAUGUCAUUAUAUAUAUAUAUAUAUAUAUAUCUCUUUCUCUCUCACUCGUUCGCUCGCUCACUCGCUCCUUAUCUUUCUUCCUAUAUAUAUAUAUAUAUAUAUAUAUAACGUAGUUUCUGCUUUUACUAUGUAAUAAUCAGUUAUCACGCCAGAGGGCGCAAAUCUAUGAAAAUUAUCCAAUAGUUUCUCCAAUCGUAAAAUAACGCUUAAAGAAUGAUUUAAUAUUUUAUUGGUCGAAUCGUAAUAUAUAAUUUCUUCGUGAAAUUUUCUAUUCUAUAUACUAUACAAUAUUAUAUCGAAUAGGUUAAUAUAUUCGAAGUAUAAACGUAAAAUACAUUUAUGAUCUUGUCAAAAGUGAUAUUAAAUGACGAUUGGAAGAAGAAUUAUUAUGAAAAAAUGGAUAAAAAAAGUCGUAGGGUAAUGUCAAGUCUAAAUUUGGACCACCUGCGAAAUAAUAUCGGGAUGGCUUAGAUAUAUCAUGAAAGUUUACAAAACUGGUAAUGUCGAUUUGAAGCAGAUAAUACGGAAUAUAAUAUAUCAUAUUUUAUAGAGGUUAUUAAUCCUGAACAUUUAAUCCAACCAUUAAGAAUUUGACCUGUUAUUACGUGCUGAGGUAAUCUAUCAAUUAAAAUUUUUA